UAUGGGCUGAGAUCUUUGUUAGAAAAAAUCUCAAGUCCAUCUCUUUCUCCUGCCACCAAAUAAGGCCAAGAGCUACAGCAGUGCCAGGUGCCUGAGGAGGAAGUUAUGAUACCCCUGCCAACUGAAGAUGUCUGGAGAGUGUUCACAAGCAAGAAAAGAACUUCAAGAGUGUACAUAACUGCAUAGAUUUACAGGCUUAUCAGGAGACACACAGGAGCUUAAAAUUUUACCCCUCAGCAGUACUGAUGGCCAUGCAGAGCUGUGAUAGUUGAAUGACCAUGCAGCUGCCAGUCAAGUGGAGACUCACAGAGAGAAUUUCUAACCAGGAUAACACAGGAUUUUCUUCUUGGUGAGGAGUCACAGGGUCUCACUGUACAAUGAAAAGACUAAAAGGGUGUAUGUCAGCUACAGAUGAGGUGAAGAUUCCAGUAUGUCUUCCAUGCUUGAACCUGCCAUCAACUCUGUGCAUCCCCCUAAACUCAUCAUCGUCUCAUUUUUUCCCCUGUAACAAAAGAACAGUAAAAAGUCAU